UGCAGAGAGUCUCCUUCUUUAGGUCUCUCCCUGAGGACUGAGAGAGAAUUCUGGGUCAUGUCUGUGAGCACGAGGAGGAGACUCGUUGGAGUUUUCCCCGUUCCCACUGCUAAUUUAGUGAGAAGACAGACAUCCCUGUGGAGAAGAGAAACAAGAAAUGAUCGGGGACAAAGCCUGCAGGAGGAUGUGAAUCAGAGAGGCCAGGGUAUGUGUUUGGGGUCUCACCAGUGCUUCUCACCUGUGAGUGCUUCCCCAUCGUCAUAGCUUGGCCUGGGAACAGGAGAAAUAAACCAGACGGAAUUUCUCUCUAACCACACAAGAGCUGGUUAUUAUUUCCUUGGACUGACAUACUCAAAGCCUGAGGGCAGAUGAAAGUGGAUCAGCAAUGAAGAACUGAACAGUGAUGUGUAGCUUCAUUCUUUUCUAACUCUGUAAAUAUUUCUGUUGGACAUCUGGGACUUACUAGCCCCAAGGCCAGUAAU